rnacentral:rRNA from 1 species
GAUGAACGCUGGCGGCGUGCCUAAUACAUGCAAGUCGAGCGAACAGACGAGGAGCUUGCUCCUCUGACGUUAGCGGCGGACGGGUGAGUAACACGUGGAUAACCUACCUAUAAGACUGGGAUAACUUCGGGAAACCGGAGCUAAUACCGGAUAAUAUAUUGAACCGCAUGGUUCAAUAGUGAAAGACGGUUUUGCUGUCACUUAUAGAUGGAUCCGCGCCGCAUUAGCUAGUUGGUAAGGUAACGGCUUACCAAGGCAACGAUGCGUAGCCGACCUGAGAGGGGAAUCGCCCCCACGGAACCGGGACACGGUCCCGACCCCCUCCGGGGGGCGGCGUUGGGGAAUCUUCCCAAAUGGGGGAAACCCGUACGGGGCAACGCGGGGGGGGUAAGAAAGGUUUUCGGUUCGUAAAACCCUUUUUUUGGGGAAAAAAAAAUUUGUAAGUAACUAUGCCCGUUUUGACGGUACCAAUCCAAAAAGCCCCGGCUAACUCCGU